UUUUUUUUUUUUUUUUUUUUUUUGGUUUGGUUUGGUUGUUUUUUUUGUUUUUCUAUCUCUUGAAUUUCCCCUCUUUGAGAUGACUUAUUAAAGUGUAGGUGAGGCUGGCCUCAAAUCCCUGACCUUUUUACCAUAGUGUACGGGUGCAGGCAUUGACAGUCUACAGGACACACCCAGAUCUUUCCGCUCUCAGUCUAAAGCAGGUGUGGUGCCCUUUUUCCUUCAAUAUACUAAUUUUGCUUUGUUUUCUGUGAUGCUGGUGGUUCAAUGUAUGGUCUCAUAUGUGCUAGGCAAACACUUUACCACUAAGUUCCAGACUUUUGUUGUUAUUUUGAGUCAGAAUUUAAGCUACCCAAACUGUCAGCAAACUUGCUCUGUUUCCCAAGCAAGCCUUGAACUUGCCUUCCUCCUGAGUAGGAGGAUUAUAAGACUGUGCGACGAGGCUUGCAUCUUAUUUAUGUGUGGUGGGACAUAGCAGGCUCUACUGACUAUGUGAAAUAAAUCUCAUUGUCUAGACGUCACUGUUUUCUUACAACAUGGCUCAAUUUGUUCUCAUAGUCCUUUUAUUUUUCUAUCGGCUGGAAAUAUGUUUAAAGGAUUUGUUAUAUGUAUUUUUGCAAGAACGUCCCAUAAGUAAUGUAUACUUUUUCAUGUAUCACAUCUGGAACUACACUGGGCCCAGUAGUCCACUUAUCUGUAGCUUUUUGGUGGCACCAUCUCAUGUUCAUUGAUCUAAGCAUAGUAUGUAUUUUUAACUUUGUCAUUACUAAGUAUUCGGGGUUGAUACUACUAAUAUUCUGUUUUCAUUGUAUUAUAAAGAGAUCAUCUGCUUUUAAGAUUUUUAAUACUGAUUAUCAGAAUACUGUAAUGGUUUUAAUUUUCACUCAAAAGAUGACACCUUAAAAGAAGUUUGUAAGAAUGUCUUAUUUAGUCAUCUUGGUCAUUGUCUAUUAGUGCAUGUCCUGUUUUGGGUGUUUUAUUCUGUUUUGUUUUCUGUGGGGUUUUUUUGUUGUUGUUGUUGUUUUUUUGAGGUUUGGGUAAAGGAAGGAGUGCAUACAGGAUCUCUCUCAGUAGCCAUAGCUGUCCUGGAACUCAUUAUGUACACCAGAUUAGCCUCUAAUUCACAAAGAUCUGCCUGCCUCUGCCUCUCUGCCUCUUCAAGUUCUGGAAUUAAAGGCAUACAUUACCACAUUCAGCUGGCCUCUGUUUUUGUAUAGAAUAAUUUUUAAAGUAGAAUUGUAUAGCUCAAUCUAACUAGAAACAAAGUUGUACUUUACAGACACAGAAAAGCAUAUGGAUACUUCAUACAUAUCUUAAUAGGAAUAAUAUAUUAUUAUAUACUACAUAGUAUAUAAUAGUGUAUUAUAAUAGGGGAAUUUAUUUAACUGUGCUAUGACAGUUGGAAAUCUAACCAUUUGCACAUAAACAAUUAAUAAAUACAUUGUGUACAUUAUACAGCAGAAUAUAUAUAAUUGUUUAUUUAAAACAAAUGAUCUUAAGACUUCAUAUGUAAGAAAUGGAAAAACCAUCCAUGCCUAAUUAGAAAGGAAGUCUUAUGCCUAGAAAUCAUGAAGCCCUGGAUUUUGUCCUUACACUGCAUAAAACUAGAUGGCACAAGCUUGGAAUCCCAGCAUUCAGGGUGUAAAGGAAUGAAUAACAGAAGCUCAAGAAAACGCUCAGCUACAUAGCAAGUUUGAGGCACAUGAGGCCCUGUUUGAAAGAAAUAACAGUUAGAAAGGGAUUUAUAAACAGACAAUUUAGAACACUAUAUUCAAAAUAGUACUUAUGUAUAACUUAGAUUAUAUUUAUCUACAGUAAAAGUAUAAAGAUAUGAAUGCAGAAAUAGAGUGGUCUGAAGAUAAACUAUUCUCUCCUAUAAAAUAAAGAGAGAGGAAAAACAAAUGGAUCUGCAGUGACAUCCAUCACAGUAUCGGGAUUUGUAGUCCGUGUUUGUGAUUGGUUUGGUUUUGGUUUGUUGAGGUGGGCUCUUAAGUAGCCCAUGCUGGCUUCAUAUUUGCUAUAUAGUCAAGGAUCAAUAUAUAAGUGUUCAUUAUAUUCUUUAUAACUUUUGUAUGUUUAAAAUAUUCUUGUAAUUCAUUUCUGAGACUUUCUCUAGUUAAUUUUCAUAUUUUUUAAAAUUUUUAUUCCAGCAUCGGUAUCAAGUCCUAUUGUUGCCGGUGGCUUGAGAAACAUCCAUGAUAACAAAGUUUCUGGUCCAUUAUCUGGCAACUCAGCUAACCAUCAUGCUGAUAACCCUAGACAUGGCUCAAGUGACGACUACCUACACAUGGUGCACAGGCUAAGUAGUGAUGUAUGUAACGUGCUAGUUCUAAAUGCGGUAAUGGCUGAGAUCUGUCUUGUAGCCCAGGAUUUUCAUAUCACAGGUGAAGGAUAUCUAUUCUACCUUGAGAAUUAAACUAGAUUCAGAGAAUCUAGGUAUGAACACCACAUCUCCUGUUUCCCACAAAGCUUAAUCCAUAGAGCAGGGUUGAAUUUCAGUUUUAAGUUAAUAGUGCUUACACCAAAAAAAUUACCUCAAGCAGCAAACUUUUAUUUGCUAGUGUUUGGCUUUUUUACCCUAUGUUCAACUUUCCCCUUCCUCAUAUUUAAUGUUUUCUCACUAAAUAUUGGAAAUUUUCUUAUUGUGGAUGUCACGGCACUUUUAUUGAAAUUGCCUAUAUCUAAAGAUAACAGAUGACUGUACGCUGCCCUCAGACAUUUAUGGCCUCCUAGGGUAGUCUUCACAUCUCCUUUUAUAGAAAGCAAACCCAAAUGGAGCAUGCUCAUAAUACCAGUUUCCUUUAUUCAUUGCCAUGCAUAGGCUGUUGAUUCUUUUGGAUACAAUUUCAAUUCUUCUAAGAUAUACCAUGAAGAAAACAGGAAAGUGCAGAAGAAUUAGACUAUUGAAUUUCAACACUUUACCUGUCAGUAAUUUAUGUCUCUUAUUAGUUAUCUUUAAGAUUUUAGUAAAGCUUCUCGUAGCAUUCAAGAUAGAAAAUUUAUGUUUUAUUCUUAGGAUGGCGAUUCUUCAACAAUGAGGAAUGCUGCAUCUUUCCCCUUAAGAUCUCCUCAACCAGUGUGUUCUCCUGCUGGAAGUGACGGAACACCUAAAGGUAUUAGAGCAGGAAUUUCCUUCUGUGUUUCAAGUUUCAAGCAGAUCUAGACCAAAAAUAGGGGUAUUUAAAUCAGUUCCACUUUAAGUUUUUCAUAUUUAUAUUUGUUAAAUCCCAGUAAAGUCUUAUAGUAUUCUUAUACAGUUUCAUUCUCACUAAUAAAUCCAAUAGCCCUUCAGAAUCAUAACUGUCUUAACCUCUCUUAAAUGUUUGAACUGUUUAAUCAGACUCAACUGUGCACCUCCUGAAAAGGGAUUUACUUCAUGUUGACCUGGCCAGCUUUUCUCCUGCUCUUUUUAUUGACAUUUGGUUUCAAUUUUAACGGGUUUCUGUGGGCUCUUUUUUCUUUACUCCCUUGUCAAGAUUUUUGUCAUUAGAAAUCAGUGUCCCUACUGUACUCUUUUAACCUUUUGACCUUUAAUCACAACACUUUUAGGAGCAGAGACAUGUGGAUCUCUGUGAGCUCCAGGCUAGCCCACGUUCUAUAAGAGCCUGUCUAUAGAAAAACAGCAGUAACUUGUAAGACAGUUAAUAAUGUAUCAUUCCUUGUGAAUUUCUAAUAAGGGCUAUUCUGCCCCAUAUGGUAAAGCUGAACUUUCCUCAUGAUUUUUUUGCUAGAUUCCCUACAAAGAAAACAAAGG
rnacentral:lncRNA from 1 species